GUUUAGGUUUCUAUUAUUUAGGAAGUAAUAUUUCUAUUAUUUAGGAGUUCUAUUGUUAUUUAGGAACAUUUAAAGAGUUCUAUUAAGCUUAGUAUUUUAUAGUUUGUGUUGGUUUUAUAUUCCUAGUUAGAUUAGUUUAAUGUUUUCUUGUUUUAGGAUUCUUAAUCCUAUUAUUAUUAGGACUAACAAUUAUACUACAAAUACCAUGUAAUCUAUGCAAAUUGGUAGAGAUUAUUAUGAGAAUUUAAUUAGAGUUUGAGAAUUUUGUUCCUUUUCCCUUUGAAUGUUCUGGGUUCUAUAUUAACUAAACUACUCCAAUGGGAUGCCAAUAACAAAACCAAAAAGAGUCAGAUUUCUCAGAUGUUGAUGAGCACUUAAAAAUAAUGCCAAAUAGCUAAAAUAAUUUUAUAUACAAAAACCUAUAGCAUUCCAAAUGAAAACAUUAGUAAUGUGUACAAUAUAAACAACUCAAGACUGGUUUCUAAACCAAAACGAUCUCAUUAUCUUAGGCUAAAAUUAGUAGUACGUACAGAAAGAUGAGACAGAAAUGGUCAAACAACCAAGGGAGAUAAACCAUAUGGGCACUAUGAAGCCAAAAUUACAACUCCAAAAGUAGCUGAAGGGAACACCCAUAAAUCCAAGACAAUAGUUAUUCAAAUUGAAGUUAUGAAGCAAGAACACUGGGGACAUGGGCAACUAAAGCAGACAUAAACAUCCUACUACACCAAUUGCCACUUACUUAAGAAGUUAAGAUUUUAUAUGCUGGUUCAUAACUAGUCCAAACUCUCAGCUGGAAAAGAUUAUGCAGAUAUUUCCAGAAAGCAUACAUGGGUUGGGGUAUGGAUAAUUAGAUAUUGCUUGCUUCAUGUCUAGCAGGGGAUGCUUUGAUUUGAAAUCUUGUUAUCAAUAGCAUGAUAGAAAGACACCGGGGCUUUCUAGAACUAGUAUAGGAUAGGAAAGACAUUAUCCAACCAAGAUUGGGAGGAAAUGAUUCAUUCAUUGAGACGCAUCAAAAUGCCUUUUCACCCUUUACUGAAGGGGAAGGAAAAGGCUGGAGCUUU
rnacentral:misc_RNA from 1 species